GAUGAACGCUAGCGGCAGGCUUAAUACAUGCAAGUCGAACGGGAUUCGAGGUAGCAAUACUUUGAUGAGAGUGGCGCACGGGUGCGUAACGCGUAUGCAACCUACCUUUAACAGGUGAAUAGCCCCGAGAAAUCGGGAUUAAUACACCGUAACAUUGCGAGAUGGCAUCAUAUUGCAAUUAAAGAUUUAUCGGUUAAAGAUGGGCAUGCGUGACAUUAGCUAGUUGGUGAGGUAACGGCUCACCAAGACAACGAUGUCUAGGGGUCCUGAGAGGGUUAUCCCCCANACUGGUACUGAGACACGGACCAGACUCCUACGGGAGGCAGCAGUAAGGAAUAUUGGUCAAUGGGCGCAAGCCUGAACCAGCCAUGCCGCGUGCAGGAAGACGGCCCUAUGGGUUGUAAACUGCUUUUGUCAGGGAAUAAACCUUUGUACGUGUACAGAGCUGAAGGUACCUGAAGAAUAAGCAUCGGCUAACUCCGUGCCAG
rnacentral:rRNA from 1 species